rnacentral:rRNA from 1 species
AUUGAACGCUGGCGGCAUGCCUUACACAUGCAAGUCGAACGGUAACGGGCCUUCGGGUGCCGACGAGUGGCGAACGGGUGAGUAAUACAUCGGAACGUGCCCGAUCGUGGGGGAUAACGAGGCGAAAGCUUUGCUAAUACCGCAUACGAUCUACGGAUGAAAGCAGGGGACCGCAAGGCCUCGCGCGGACGGAGCGGCCGAUGGCAGAUUAGGUAGUUGGUGGGAUAAAAGCUUACCAAGCCGACGAUCUGUAGCUGGUCUGAGAGGAUGAUCAGCCACACUGGGACUGAGACACGGCCCAGACUCCUACGGGAGGCAGCAGUGGGGAAUUUUGGACAAUGGGCGCAAGCCUGAUCCAGCCAUGCCGCGUGCAGGAUGAAGGCCUUCGGGUUGUAAACUGCUUUUGUACGGAACGAAAAGCCUUCUUUUAAUACAGGAGGGUCAUGACGGUACCGUAAGAAUAAGCACCGGCUAACUACGUG